rnacentral:rRNA from 1 species
GGUGACAGCCCCGUACACAAAAAUGCACAUGCUGUGAGCUCGAUGAGUAGGGCGGGACACGUGGUAUCCUGUCUGAAUAUGGGGGGACCAUCCUCCAAGGCUAAAUACUCCUGACUGACCGAUAGUGAACCAGUACCGUGAGGGAAAGGCGAAAAGAACCCCGGCGAGGGGAGUGAAAAAGAACCUGAAACCGUGUACGUACAAGCAGUGGGAGCACGCUUAGGCGUGUGACUGCGUACCUUUUGUAUAAUGGGUCAGCGACUUAUAUUCUGUAGCAAGGUUAACCGAAUAGGGGAGCCGAAGGGAAACCGAGUCUUAACUGGGCGUUAAGUUGCAGGGUAUAGACCCGAAACCCGGUGAUCUAGCCAUGGGCAGGUUGAAGGUUGGGUAACACUAACUGGAGGACCGAACCGACUAAUGUUGAAAAAUUAGCGGAUGACUUGUGGCUGGGGGUGAAAGGCCAAUCAAACCGGGAGAUAGCUGGUUCUCCCCGAAAGCU